rnacentral:lncRNA from 1 species
AUUAUAUAUAUAUAUAUAUAUAUAUAUAUAUAGAGUUGGACUGGGCUACUAUUAGUAGCAAAAUUUCAUUGUUGCUACCAGUUUUUUAGCCUUUGGAUCAACUCUUUUUAUUAUUUCUGGCCAUUGGAUUAAAUACUAUAACCUAGUGGGGACCACUCAACCCUCGGGGGACCACUCAACUCUAACCGACUAAUAUCAUCCUGACCCUACAAUUUUUCAUCUAAUGGUUAAAAACUUGAUAGCAAAAAUAGCGUUUUACUAUUAA